UUCUGAGAUGGGGAAAACCAAGACAUAGUGGGACUUGGGGGUACAGUGAAAAUCAGUUCAAUUUGGAUACAUUAACUUUAGAAAAGUCAUUAAAUAUCCAAGAGGAUGAAUAGGACAUUGGGUUUUGAUUCUGGAGCUUAGGAGAGAGGUCAGCAUGGGGGUUUUGAUUUGGGAGACAUACAAGCAUGGGGCUGAGUGUGGUCCCCCAAAGAAAGAGUGGAUCAGGGGAAGGAUGGGCAGGACAGAGACUUGAGUUAUUUCAACAUUGAGGCCAGCAAGCUGUUUUGAGGGCCUAUGCCCCGGCUGGUAAUACUUAGAGCCCACUCUUCUUCAACUCCUCAUUACUGCUUAUGUUUGCAAGGUUCCUCUUCAUGGGUCCUGGUAGUUUCAGUGUCUUGGUUUUGAGAUCAGCUCUCUGACCAAAAACUCAUUGGUUGUGUUUUUCUUAUAUUUCUGAAGGCUUUGGAACAGGAAGCAGUUUCCUUCUGGAACAUCCCAUCUGCUAUGUACUUCUCUACUUGUGGAUUUGCUCUGUGUACCUGGAGACAAAUGAGGCACGGAUGGCUGAACGGGCCUGUCUUCUCUGAUUCACAGUCUAGUUCCUCCUCCUGCAUCCCAUGUCUGCUCAGGACAUAUGGCAGGAGCAGCCACCACACCUGCGCAAGCACUUGCUUCCACAGACCCAGCUGUCUGGGGCUCACCUGAGCACACCUGUUACCUUUUCCUUCGAAAAGCUGGCCAUUGAUUUCUGACUUCAAAGCCUCAAAUCGUAUAUGGAAACCUUGGAGGAAGACCUGGCUGAGAGUGUGUACCACCAUUUUGCAUGACUUGCUUCUCUCAUCUCUGAAUGGAUCUGUGAUACGAAGAUUGAGCUGCUGUUUAGUGUAAAGGAGAUGAUGUCUGCAGUGCAGUGAACACAUAGCAAGGACUCUCCAAGUAGCACAGACCCAUCUCAAGGUGGGUCAGUGGAAAGAAUACUUAGACGGAGGCACGAGGUC